GCUAGACCUAACCAAUGAGUAGAGAAUGAAAUGUAAAUCUCAUCCUAACGAAUACAACCUAAAUGAGAAGAGUAAUCUUCUUCAAGCUGGUGAGAAUGAGAAGGAAAAACCACCCAUACUACAUUCCAAAAUCAUUCAGUUAGCUGAAAAAUGAAACAACACUGCACCGAUCUCUCAAACACCAAACGAUACAAGAACUGCCACAGUCAUAUUGCCAAGAAUUUAAGCAACCGAACAAUACAUUGAAAUGGAAAUGUAGAUGCCGUAAAAUAUGCAAACUCUACUUAACAUGUCAGGCUAGUAGAAGCACAACACCAAUUCCUUACAAAACAGAAGGAAUUACUUAACAUGUCAGGCUAGUAGAAGCACAACACCAAUUCCUUACAAAACAGAAGGAAUGCAAAAGUUUGACAACGGAAAUUAACAUAGAGUUCCAGUUAAAAACGACUGAAUGGGGGAAGUACAUUACGCACCUAAUCACAGAACUACAUUGCCAUAAACAAGCCAAGAAUUUAGUCUAUCCAAGAUUGCUUCUCAAAAAGAAAAC
rnacentral:lncRNA from 1 species